GGCGGCGACGAGAUGAGGGGCUCCCAAGACCAUACGGAAGGAGCUUACUUUAAAGCAAAACAACACUGAGCCGUGCAGAUGAGGAUUAAAGUCAGAGUCUUGCACAUGAAGGAAUCCACCACCAUCGUCAUCAUCCUCAUCAUCAUCAUCGUCCUCCUCACUGUCAGAUGUUGAAACAGCAGCAGACACGUCACACUUCACAGGUGAUUGUGGUGUGCAACAGCUGGAGAGCAGCAAACAGAGGCGUUGAGCAUGCGGAAGAGACUGGAGGCGGCAGAUGAAGAGACCACAUGAUGAUAUGAGGAAGAUGAAGUCAAGGAGAGCUGUCAGCAACCACCACCACCACCACCACCUCCUCCCUAAACACUCGCGCGCGCACAGAAACAGUGGUGAGGUCAUGGCACGAUCGUCUCACAGGCUUCUGACACUGUGCCACAACAACAGCAUCUCGAGUCCAGGUUGAAAACUAAAGGAAACAGAGUCUUCCAUCUGGAACAACCUCUCCAAGGAAAUAAGAGGAAAAAUUAGUCAGUGUCACUUAAAAACGUGCUUUUAUCAGAAAACUCAUUCUUAUCUGACGUCAUCUCUGUCCUGCUUUCUUGCAACACUUUAACUGAAUCGGUUUCAAUUCUCUGGUGGAAUUUUUUAUUUUUUUAUUUCUACUUCAAUUUCAUAUACUAAGCACUUUAAGAAUCUGAAAAUGUAAAGUGCACGAUAAAUAAAAUAAAUAUGUAUACAUUUAUAAAUAUAAAAAGUUUAGAAACACUGCAUAUCACUGUGCAUACUGUUCUUGUGAGAUGAUGACAUCAUGUGGAAAGUUUCUAAAAAGCGCAGAGAUUAUGGGUUGUGACAUUUUCACUGUACAUUCUUGUGUAUGAAUUGAAAAGUUUCCCAAAUUAUUAUUUUCGAUUAUGUUAACUUUACCCACAAUAAACUACAUGAU